GUGACUGAAUGCCAUUUCUAAUAAGGAAGUGAUUAAUUAAAUAAUCAACAUCAAAUUUCAAGAUUUUUCCCAACUGUGGACUGAGAUUCCAAGAGCCAUCCUGAUUUUGGAGAUCAAAAAUUUCUUCCCACAUUACAGGAGUAAACUCAAGUUUCUGUUGGCUUCUUUCUUUCUCUGUUGUUAUAAAACAGCUCGGUUGUAGCAAACGUUUAGGUCUCUCAGGAAAUUCCUGUUCAGAAGCUGUAGCAUCCUGCAGACCUGUUACCAUUUUCUUCCUAUACUUUGCCUUUAAUUUUG
rnacentral:lncRNA from 1 species